AGUAGCUAAGAAAUUAUAAAAUAAUAUUUUGUUAUUAUUAUUGUUGUUAUUGUUGCUGUUGUUGUUGUUAUUUUUGUUGUGGUCGUCGUUGUUGUUAAUAAAAGUUUUUACUUAUUUAAAUAUAUAUGAGGGAUAUGAUUUUGUCCCGUGAUAUACUUUCACGGAAUGUAUUUCGUGGUACAUUACAUGGGUCUCAGGGUACAUUAAAUGAGUGUCAGGGUACGUUUCUACUUUUUAAUCCUAAUUACCCUUAGAUCAAUCUCAACCGUCAAAUCAAAUAACUACCUCAUCUGACGGCUGUCGUACAUCACGGAUCACAAUCCGUGAAAGUACAAUAACGGGACAAAAUCAUAUCCCUAUAUAUAUAAGUUAAGGUUUAAAGAUGUAAAACUAAAAAUGAAACCUAUUUGUGCGACAAGAACGUGCACCUCCACCAUCCAUAUUUUUUCAAUUUUUCAGCCAAAAACAUAGUGUUUUUAGCCAUGUUAGUAGGUGGGUAGUGAAUCAAUGAAGAGGGAAAUUCUUAAGGUAAUAGGUAGAGUUAUUUAGACAACCAUGAGUUAAAAAUUUUCUCCAGCAAAUGUACAUAUCAGCUUAUCCAGCAAGUGGUGCUGAGUUGUCAAGAACUGUAUUUUAAAUGUUCUGAACUUUUAAAUAUAUUUUAUAAUAAUACAAUAAUAGCGUGUCUUGUAAUAUUUUAAAUAGGGGAUCCGUAAUCGUAAAAAGAGACUAUGUCAUGAUUUUAUAAUUUAAAUUAGUUGGUAAAGUUUUUAUUAA